UUUUGUUUUUUUUUCUAUUAAAUUCUAUGCCAAAUUGUUUGAUUCGUGUUUUUUUUUUAUUUGGUAAAUCUCCAAGAUUUGAGUUAGGAAACCCCAAACAGAUACAACAGAUAAGUAUAACAAGUUCUGGUCACAAGAGCUGGCUAUUUAACUAUUAUUCCAGGAGCACCAGGAAGCUGGGCACUCCCCUCCCCCAUAUGAAUGGAAAUGGGAGAUGUUGGACAGGUAGUGGUAUAAGAAAUAGUCAUUUUGGAUAUGCCAUUUACAUAUGUAUGUGUUGGGGCCAUAUACAUAUUAUAUACCAUGUAUGGGGGGCUGUAUUGGUUACAGAGUCAGUUUUGUAUCUUACGUUCAAAGUCCCACCCUGAAACUCAAAUUAUCCAUAUCAAUGGGUUUCCUGGGAAUAGAAGGGGGGCUGUGUGUUCCUACUGGAGUCAUAUAACUCAUUUAUGUAUGUGAGAAACUCAAUCAACUGGAUGCGGCCAAGUUGGGGCAUUAUCUUGGCAUCUGGUCAGUUGGGGGCAGGUAUCAAAAACCUAUAUAAAGGCCGACUCCUGGAUUUGAAGAAAUGGGAAAUUAUGGGGGACUUUUGCAUGUGAAGAAAGCAAGAACUAGACAGACUGGAGGGAAGAUGGGAGCAGGAGCCAACAGGUGACCAGAAAGAAACUAUGAUGGGUCUGGUAAGAAUGAUGGAACUGUACAAUCAUUCUGUAAAUAGUGUAAAUAUAGUCUAAUUGAAAUUGUUUAAGUGUAACAAUCCACUGAUUUAUUAUUCAAUAUAUUUAAUAUACACUUAUUGGUGUGGAUACUUUACACGCUCAAAAGAACCAUAACCCUAGUAAGAGAGGGGAAAUAUUAUUAUCAAUAUUAUAUAUCAUAAAUCUUACAGUGGGUCACUUUUGCCCAUAUAGUGUACUUUAAGAUUGCAAAAUAUAACCCUAACCCAAAACCCUAACCCUAAUAACCCUAACCCCAACCCAAAACCCUUACCCAAAACCCUAACCCUAAUACACUACCCCUAACCCUAAUAACCCUAACCCCAACCCAAAUCCCUAACCAAAAACCCUAACCCUAAUACACUAACCCUAAUAACCCUAACCCCAACCCUAACCAAAAACCAUAACCCUAAUACACUGACAUUAACACUAGUAUACAUUUCAUUCACAAAAUUGGUAACCCAGUGGGUUAGACCCUUCGGUAAGUGCAGAACAUGCCAACUGAAUUGAACAGGCUCAGGGCAAAUCAUCCAGAUCUAGAAAUUCAGAGACGCAACAAGACAAAUGUGCCUAUAGACUCCGGGAUAUAAACAAGAAUGUGUUACAAGUUCCAACACCUACAGCAAAAUAUUAUCUGGGCGAGAAGUCCACUGCCAAGUAGUACGUGGAAAUGUUUUCUGUGGGUGGAGCAUCUUUGUGGUUCAAAACACAGAUAAGAAUGAUAGCAGUGUAAACAGGGAUAGCCAACAAGAGGCUGAUGUAGAAAAAAACAUUAAUUAAAGGAUAUAUAUCCCCACUCAGCUUCUCCGCCUUCUGGAAUUCUCCUUUAUGGAUCAACCAUCUCACCUAGAAAACAGAAUACAUACAUAGCUAUAUAUUGUCAUGUACAGUGCCACUUUUUUUGCCAUAUCAGCCAGCAACAUACUGGUUAUGCUUGAUCUCUGCUAUCAAUUGCCUGCAGGAACCCCCUCAUAUGUCAUGGACAUGGUUUCUUGGUUUCAUACAUCUGUGUUCAAAAGUCAAGGUUUUUCAAGGAGUCCAUCAGACUAUAUCUCAUCAGAUGAAAACCCAGGCCAUUGAGGUUGGGGAAUGCCCUGCCAGGGGAUGUUCCAUGGGAUUCUAUUCAUGCUUUUAAGAAGGUCUUGGAUGAUUUAUUGGACAACAAUAAUAUCUAAUGUCCAUAUAUUUCAAAAUAUUCAAACUGGCUAACUGCAUACAAGCCUAAUCUGGCCAGUCCCACACUCACAUUUAUCUGAUUCAGUAAGAAUGCUAGUAUUUUUUAGUAUUUUAUUAUCUAUAGGCACUAAGAUUGUCCUGCUACUUACUUUCUGAGGUUGAACCCCAAAAUAUUAAGGUAAAGGAAAUGCAUUCACCUGCUGUCCCUCUUGGGUAAACAAUAGGCACACAAUAAAAGAUAAAUCUCCUUGCUCAAGAGGUUAAGCAGAAAAGCUGUUUUCUAGUCUGACCACCUUAAAUACCAAGUGAUUUGUCUUGACAUUAGCUUGGUUACCUUGAAGCAGCAGAUGAUGGAAAUCAAUCCGACUGGGAGGAAAAGAAUAAGGUUGAAAAAAGAGAAGACCAAGUCGUAGUUAUUUGCCUUCAGUUUGUAACUGUAGUCAAGCCACUGCCCGACCAGAACGCGUGGUGGUGUGUGAAGAGAAGAACGAUGGGUUUUGCAGGACGGUGCUGAAGGCUCAUGGUUGUCUGGAGGAGAUGAUUCAGAAGGCCUGGAUAUGGUGGCUGAGAAAUGAGGAGAAGGUUGAUAAGGAGGCAAUGAAGGAUCAGGAUACAUUAUGGAUGAUGGGUUAGGACUCGGAGGCUCGUAGGCAGGAUACAGAGAAUCAUACUGCGGUGGAGGCUCAUCCAGUAUAAGGUACCAUCCAGGGGCUUGAGACAUGUCCAUGCUCUUGAUCUUACUCAAGCAACUGUGAGGUCUAUGAGCUUCAGCGUAUUUACACAACCUGUAAGACUGGCUUUACCCCUUGCAGUAAUGUCUGUGUACUACCAAUAUGUCACACAUAUUCUUACAAAAGAAAUGCAAACUCUUAAAUAAAAAAAACAACCUUUGAUGCACAAGACUAAUUAUACGGCUCCAAGGCAGCAAGUCAAACAAACGGUACAAGUGAACAACACAAAGUGACAUUGAAACCAAGUAACCUGCUCCUACAGAGACUGAACCCUGGGGCUAAAUCAUGGGGUUAGCUCAAGGUAGGAGGUCUUAGUUUAUUUUAAUAUUUUUAGUAUUUGGAUAUAGUGGGUGAUAAAGUUUUCACUCCAAUGUAGAAUAGGUCUUCUCUUGAAAUCACCUAUAAAAUCUCUGAGUCUUAAUACUUUGCCUUGUUUUUCUUCUCAUUUUUGCAGUAAAUUGUCUUCUUGUCCAGGCAAGAAAUCAGGAUUAUUGCAUAAAGAACCAUAAGAUCCAAUUAAAGUGUCAGGCUCUGGUUACUCGCCCCUAACUGUACUGCAAGAAGUUCACUGGCACACAGAGUUGAAGACAGUUAUUUGGAGAGAUAUUUUCUGGCCAAGAGGAGAGCAAAGCUUGAACCAUAUGGUGGAAUUUGGGCUUCAAAGGAGGAGAAAUCAGUUCCCAUAACAUUCCAUACUAAUGAAUAUAUAAAGUAUUUUUCUGAUCCCAGAGCAUUCGUCAUUUACCUGAACAUAUAAACGUAUUUUAUUGAUAAGAUAUUCUUUAGACCAGAGCAUGCCUGGGCCCAGAGCCUUCUGUUAACCUGACCGUAUAAAACCACUUUCCUGUUUAGAUAUUUGUUUGCCCAGAUCAUGCCCCGUGCCAUAAAUAUUCCACGAAACACACAAAAGCAUUUUCCUGACUUAUUAAUUUUGGAGCCCAGGUCAUGCCGUUGCCCAGAUCAUGUCAGUUACCUGUACAUAUAAACCAGCAAGAUAUUAUUGUGACCAGAGCAUGCCUGUGCACAGAGUGUUAACCUGAACAUAUAAAAUAAUUUUCCUGAAUAAAUAAUUGUGUGCCCAGAACAUUCCAUUUACUUCAAUGCACAUUAGCGUUUUCCAGAACGUUGCAUAGGGUGACAACUUCAGGGGGUUGGGUGGCCCAGAGUUUUUUGAUUUUUAAACCUAUAUUUUGUGCAUGAUCAUUUGUAUGGCAUUCAGUAGUUAACCUUUAAAUUAACAACCUGUAGGGGGUCAUUUAAUAAAAACUCAAAAUAUUCUGAUCAGGCUUUUUUUGGGAAAUCAGAUUAUCAAGAUUUGAUUAUUCCUGCUGCAAAAGCUGAUCCAAAAAUCUGCCAUCUCAAACCUUUCAAACUCAUGUAUAAGUCAAUGGGAGAUGUCCCUAUCCCAAUUAUAUCAUGGUUUGCGCUGGGUUUAGCCCGAUUAUCAGAAAAAUGUGGGGUUCUUGGGCAAAAAUCAAUUUGGGGAAAAAAAUUGUACAAGUUGGGUUUUUACUAAUUUUUAUCAAGUUUUUUCCUCGAUCCGAUUAAUUCAAGUUAUAUAAAUGAGGCAAAAUCUCAGUUAGGAGUUUGGUUGAGCUUUUGAAAUUUAAAAUAGGAUUUUUUUUUUAAAGAUGUUAGUAAAUAACCCCAGUAAUGUGGCAUUACAGUGAUAUUCUGAGACAAUUU